GAUGAACGCUAGCGGCAGGCCUAACACAUGCAAGUCAGGGGUACAUGAAAAGCUUGCUUUUCUGAUGACGACCGGCGCACGGGUGCGUAACGCGUAUACAACCUACCUUUUAGCGGGGAAUAGCCCACGGGAAACUUGGAUUAAUGCCCCAUAGUAUAUAGACUUCUCCUGAAGUUUAUAUUAAACAUUUAUGGCUAUUAGAUGGGUAUGCGUCCUAUUAGUUAGUUGGUAAGGUAACGGCUUACCAAGGCAGCGAUAGGUAGGGGUCCUGAGAGGGAGAUCCCCACACUGGUACUGAGACACGGACCAGACUCCUACGGGAGGCAGCAGUGAGGAAUAUUGGACAAUGGGCGAGAGCCUGAUCCAGCCAUGCCGCGUGCAGGAAGACUGCCCUAUGGGUUGUAAACUGCUUUUACAGAGGAAGAACCACCCUCACGUGUGGGGGUUUGACGGUACUCUGCGAAUAAGGAUCGGCUAACUCCGUG
rnacentral:rRNA from 1 species